AUUCAUCAUCGACGAUAUCUGAGGAUUCACGUGGAUGGGGCCUCUUCCCAAGACUACUCGUUGGUCUCAAGACAAUAUCUGACGAUAUCUGAGGAUACAUGUUAUCGUCAGGAUUGCUAUCCUCUUGCAAGUGAAGGUUUGAGGGUAAAUCCGGGGCUCUUAGGUUGUAUGUGUUGUUACCAUCACCACCUGUGGAAUUGUCGCUGUUUGCAGGGGCUUUGAAGCUGUUAUUCCCGCUUGGAGCAGGGCCGUGACUACCAGGCACAUUGGAGGUGGAUGGUGCUGCCGCUGGAUUGUUGCCUCCAAAACUCACUCCAUUCCUCCCAACACUCCCAUUUGCACUUGGGCAGGGAAGAGAUUGUUGUCCUCCCCCGCUGUUAUUGGACAUCUCCUGUAGCAGUUGCUGGAUCAUUUGUUGCUGCAAG
rnacentral:sRNA from 1 species